UCAGCAUGCCUGUUUCUCUAGGCCCUAAGGCAUUAUUAUUUUGAAAUUUUUAAUAAGUAGUGAAUAGUAUUAUGCCUAUCUAGUUUUCAAUUCUAUUUUUUGAUUAAUGAUAUUGACCGUUUUCUAAAUGUUUAUUGAUCCAAUGACUUUAUUAAGGGCCCAGACAUAACAAUCAGUCUCCAGCCAAGCAGACCAAAAGUUAACAGAUCUGUUCAUCAGGGAUUCACUUUUGGAUUCCCAUGUCCAAAGGAGGAACAUUAGAAGGACCAGCAUUUGCACACGAACCCAAUUCACUCUGCUUCUAGAUCAUGAAGGAAAUAUGAAGACAUCCUUCUUGAUUUGCAGGAAUGCCUGGAAGUACUCAUACUCCCGUCACAGGAAGGUGAAAACAGCCAAGCCACUAAAUGCUCAACCCUUGAUAACUUGUGACAAUGGAGUCUACAUAUUUUGCUAAGGUCUCACUUGUAUGCCAAGCAUUUGCCCCGCAAUAUUCUUUCAUGAUUUCUGCCA